GGAUAUGAGCUGCAACAUCUGUCACCCAAUUGAUCGCCAGUGUUGAUUCAGCUGAUCUGGCUAAGGUGGGUGUCCCCUUCCUCCUUCACUGAUCCAUGUGCAUCCCUCCCAAAGCUGCACGCUCGGUGGAAUAGGACGACCAUCCCAGAUAGAAGGAGUGUACCAUUCUUCGGUCAAGUGUAUGCGAUAGCUGUGCUCCCCUGCUAGAACCUCCAAACCAGCUCAAGGUCCAUUUGUAGAUGCACUGUUCUUAACAUUCUAGACAAGCUACUAUUGUUGCAUUAAGAGUGGUGUGUGAAAGU